GAGGCGUUAAUAAAAUGAUUAUAUAACUUUGUCGAAGUUAAAUUAUAGGCUAAAACCCUUUACACCUCU
rnacentral:tRNA from 1 species